GUGAGGAUAAGGCCACAGGAGGACAUGGGCCACUCCUGCCCAGGCUGAGAGUAGCCUCGGUGAACACAGAAACACCCUAUGCAACUGAGACCCACCUUUUAUGCUCACAGAACAUGUUAUUUACCAAUAUCUCAUCCCCAGAAGUUGGAUACAUUUCCCAGUGAUAGCUCCUUGAGGCAACAUGACUUGGAGUCAGGCAGCAUGGAUUCUGGAUAUUUUUGUCCCCACCAACAGAACCAACUAGAGUCUUGCCGACUUGCUUUUGAGCACCUCAUCCACAGACACCUAAAAAUAGGUGUUUCUGAUCAUUCAGAGGCUGAUUAUAUCCCAGCCCAAAGCGCCAACCUUGGAACUUCUACAAGGGCUGGACUCUGGAUACAAGGAGCCCAGGUGGACAGACCUGCCCUCAGGAAUCUUCCAGGCCAGAAUAAGCCGAGCCCUCCCUCCCUCUCUCCCAGUUUCUCCAGAGCCUUCUGUUCCCUUGUUUGAUUCCAACUUGUCUCCCCAUCAUGUGUCCCCUCUCAUCCCCCAC
rnacentral:lncRNA from 1 species